UACGGAGGGAGCUAGCGUUGUUCGGAAUUACUGGGCGUAAAGCGCACGUAGGCGGCUUUGUAAGUUAGAGGUGAAAGCCCGGGGCUCAACUCCGGAACUGCCUUUAAAACUGCAUCGCUUGAAUCCAGGAGAGGUGAGUGGAAUUCCGAGUGUAGAGGUGAAAUUCGUAGAUAUUCGGAAGAACACCAGUGGCGAAGGCGGCUCACUGGACUGGUAUUGACGCUGAUGUGCGAAAGCGUGGGGAGCAACAGG
rnacentral:rRNA from 1 species